AGGGUUGGUUUGUGGACCCAUCGCUGCCACUGGCGGGGGUUCAUCGGCGUUGGGAGAGCGGGGGAGCAGUGAGGUCAGCCUGCUACUUGGCCUUCAGAGAGCGGAGCCAAGGUAAGCUCUUCCAGCAUCCCUGCAGCCGAGCCCUGGGGCAAGGUGAAUGUUUAAUACUUCUCUGCAUCCCAGUCCCUCUCUCUCUGAAGAACAUAAACCUCUGUGAAGAUGCUCAGCUUCCCUGAGAUGCCCAGAAAUGUUUCUAUUUCAUGUUGAGAGAUGAGAAAUUAGCGAGCGGCGGAUGCGAGUGGCAGACGCCAGCCCGGCCCGUGGGACCCUGCGCUGCCGCUAAUUACAGCCGCUGCCAUGGAGGAGCUGCCGUCACCUUGUGACCAACUGAAAACCGUAGCCGGGCACCCUUGAAAUGUGGAGCCUGCUAUCAUUGUUCGUGGCUUAGGAGAUUUAAAGUACUUGGAUGCAGAAUGAGGAGCCCAUCCUGCAUCCCGCCGUGCGCUGACCUUCACCAGCGCAAUCCCCGCGCUGCAGCCCCCACCCCGGGACUCUGCGGCAGAGCCAGACCUGGAGGAGAUGCCCAUGGUGGGAGAUGCUGGAGAAGAGAGGGGCUCGAGCUGCUCAGCCUGGCGUUGGCCGGAUCCAGCCUUCCCUGGUAGGAAAAGUUGCUCAGAAGCCUUAAAUCUAUGGAGGGACAAGGAUGAACUAGACUGGGAAACCCUCCUGCCCUUCCCACGGCCUCCUGCCAACCAGCACAACCUAAAUCCAAGUCUGCAGAGGGUACCGAGGCAAAGCGGAUCUCCCUCCUUCUCCUGCAGCCACCUGCUCUUCACGGGAACAUCGAUGGGGGUUUUUCUCUCUGUUCCCCAGACAGCUGCUCCCUCCUCGCCAAGGCAAGGCCAGCCAGUCUCCAAAGGGGAAAGCAAGGACAAAGCAGGGAAGGACACGGUCCCCGGGGCAGGAAUGAGAUACCAAACCAGGUGCCCGGCCGUGCGCAGCACGAGGGACCGGGCUUGGAGCAGUGCGUCAGGGGACAGAGAUGCGGAUGAGGACAGGGAUGUGCUGGCCCAGCCCUGUCGGACAGAAGGAGGGCGGCAGCGGGGCUGCGUGCUGGCUUCCCUGCAUCAGAAUAAACAUUUCACCCCCCCAAAUGAAAGGGACUCCACGGAUCUGUUCAAAACAGUUUAUUGUAUUUUUUCGUCAGACAAACACAUUGAUUUCUGGACCACAGUAGAGGAUGGAAACCUUUCACAAACUUAUUUAUUUGAAAAUACAAAUAUAAAAUUAUACUUUCCACAUCUGUGAUGUGAGAGACCCCCAUCCACAUAGUAUUUUACAACAGGGCUUUAGAAAGCCAUACACAGAGACCUGAAAGAUGCUUGAUAUAUAUAGAUACAUAUAUAUAUGUAUAUAUAUAAAAAAAAAGUCACUACCAAAGUUCUCAUCAGUUCAUACUAAAGUAUAAAAGGAAGGGCUAGGCCUGCCACUGUGCCAUAGUUUAUUUAGAUACAUUUAUGACCACCUGAAAUGCUUAGACUUGCAUCCUAGUACUGAUGGAGUUCAGACCUCGUACAACAGAGAGUGAUGGGGAUUCGCUACCUACGACGGCCGACGCGACACAGGAGCCCGGGCGUGAUGUUACGAGUGUGUACAGAACCGGGCGAGGCCUGCUUCGACACGGGGCUCUCUCGAGACAACACAGUCGGACUGUUUGGGGACCGAGAACCGGUCACGAGGAUUUACUUUCUCAAACUACAUUUUCUUUUUUUUUUCUUUUCUUUUUUUUCUUUUUUUUUUUUUGGUAAUUUUUAUUACAGUAUUAAAGUAUUGCUUAGCUUACAGAAUCUCCUCACGUAGUGUUCGCACACGGCAACGGGGCUGACUUGGAUUCUGUACGUAUGAAACUCUACAGUGUCUGUGCGCAGACCGGGAUCUGCCGGUGUGUCUUCGAUGCAUCCUGUCUCUUCACCUUACACUAUAACUUCAGAUUUUCUGUUUGAACUAUUUUCGCUUAAAAAAAAAACCAACCAAACCGCUAAAAAAAAUAAUUCAGAAAAUUCCACCCAAGAGACAUUUCCAUAGCAUAAAAGACAGCUAUGAGUUAGUGUUGUUUGUUUUUUUGUGUUUUGUAAACAGUUUCAUAUGCAAUAUCAUACAUAACCAUGGCUGGCCUUCAGUAAAAAUGUAGUAAACUAUAUUGCUUUAUUAUUGAUUAUGUUGCAUUGAGUGAAUGGCAGAAACGAAACAAGAAGGUAACUGUGGCUGGAGUCGCUAGCCCUCAUUCACACUACAGAUGAAAACAGCAUCCUAGGCUUCAGAGCAGGGAAGAAAAGAAACCCGAACACCUUUCAGGUCGUUAUUACCAACAAUUAGCCAAUGGUUUAACUAGCCUAGCAAGAUGUGUGACAUUCACCAGCGGAACGCUGCUGUACAAUGGAGAAAAAUAAGCUUACAGCAAAGAGAGCCAUGCUACCUUAAAGUCCAAGCUACAAAUUCAACUUAAAAUGAACAUUUAUGAAGAAAAAAAAAUAAUUAAAAAAAAAAAAGGACAGAUCAGGCUUCAUUUUAAUCAAGCCAAUCACAAAGAACUUGAUUAUUUUGGAGCAGGGAGGGUUACCCCAGCUCUUGGGGCUCGCUGUGACCCCUCUCGGAACGUCCCUCAUGGCUGGGGUCCAACCUGCCCGUGGCACGACGAACCCCGUGCCAGGGAGGAGCUCUGGGUGCCCAGUUCACCCGGCCGGAUGGAAAUUGCUUUUUGGUCAGGGCUAGAUGGGAUAUUUGGAAAGAAAAGGGCAAUAUCCCUCGUAAGGAUCCUUCCCUCGCUGCGCUUGACUAAAACAAAGGUGGAGCUGAACCUUUGUACUGAAAAAUUUACAAAAAACCCCCAAACAAAUGAACAAAGGAAAAAACCAAACAAACAAACCCUUUGAAAUGGAUUUCUAGAUGAGUGGGGGACUAACGUGAACCUUAGUCUAGGUAGCCACAUCAAAACAUAUCGGAUUCCACGACGUUUGUGCUAUGGGCCACUGGGACUUCUCAAAAGGUAUAUAAACAUCUAAAACAUAUUCACACAGAUUAGCAAUUUCUUCUGAGCAUUCUUAAAAAAAUAUUAUUUUUUUUUCUCUUAGUAAAAUCGUUUUAAUAUACUGUGCCUCCCUCUUUUAAAAAAUAAAUUAAAAAAAUCCAGUUUUGCAUAUCUAGCGUUAGCAUUUAAGGUAGUAUGGCACACCCCCUUUCCAAAGUCGAGGGUGGGGAUCUACAAAUGCCUUAGGAGUUUGCCAGCAUUUUUAACAUUGUGAGACCUUUGGUUAGUUGAAACCGCAUCAGAUCAGCAAAAGAAAACACAAAAACAAGAGAAAACAAACCAAAGAGGAAAGGAAAAAAAAAAAAAGGAAAACCUUCCCAAAAUUAUUAGCAAUUUUCUUAAAUAAGAGAAAGUUCUAUCCUUACUGGUCCUAAAUCUGAAUAACUACAUCUAAAUUUUUAACCUUAAUUACGAUACACCUACCAAUAUGUACUAGAGGAGGAAGAGAGAAAGAGGGGGGAGAAAUUCACUACACUAGCAUCAGGACAGCACUCUUACAAGAUAGCCAUUUUAUACACUAUUAACAUACAACAAUGAUCAACAAAGAAUAUUCUAUGAGGUGACAGGGAAUGGAGAGGAAAACCAACUGGUAGUACAGUACAUCAUCAACAUUGACAAAAUAGCAAUUAAAAAAUUCCCUGACCGUACAUUGAAUUUCAGGGAAUUUGGUUUGUUGGUUUUUUUUUUUUUUUUUCCCGUUUUUAUUUUUUAAAGAAUUGUUUUAUUUAUUUUUAUUACUUGAUCAAGUCGCAAUAUUUAAAAAGCGUCCAGCAUUUUGCUUAAACCUGGUUGUUCUGAAAUAAGAAAAAAACCUAAAAUAUUACAUAAAAAGCAUGAGUCUUUUUUUUUUUUUUAAAAAAAAACAAGAAAAACAAGGUUUUCUCCUUUCGGUUAGCAGUAUGGUGCCUUGUUUUUGUUAAAGAUGCCUUGCUCUACCUUGUCUAUUGAAUGUCUACAUUAGUCUACUCGUUAGUAAAAUUUACAAAAAUAGGAGUGCAGCAGCUCUUUUUAACAAAUGUCGCAUUCAGUGUCUUAUACUGGCUGUACCUAAAGUACCAAAUUUAUAAACGUAACAAUUUAAAAAAAUAUUAAUAAAACUUGUCAAUAUUACGUUAAAAAAAGAAGAAAUAUAUCCACACUACAGUAUGUUCUUAAUGCCACCUACCGUGUUGUACUUCUAGUUUGCUGUUGCAGGCCUAUUUACCAAUAUUAAAAAAAUUAAAUUAAAAAAUAUCCUUCAUAAGUUUCCUCCCCCAACAGAGGACCAUAUAUAUAACAGCCAAAUAUUAAACAUGUGCAAAUAGGAAACUGUCAGUUUUUCCCCUACCAGUCACAGUGCAAUGAUGUUUUAUACUUUUAUUUUUCUUUAAAAUUCUGUUUACAACUACAAUAAAUUAAAAUCUUCCGUUGCUUCUAGGGUGAAACUUGUAGCACUGAGGUAUUCCCAAAAAAAAAAAAUAAAAUAAAACACCACCAAACUUGCUUUCCUAAUUUGUUAAUACAGAAAGUAAUGGAUAAAAAAAAGAUAACCAUGCAAGCUUUCGAGCCGCUCUGCCCGCAGCAGGCGAGCGCCGAGGAGGGCCCUCACCUCCGCCCGGGCUGCGCGGGGGCUCAGAGCCACUGAAAUGACUGGACAGCAAGUCGAUCUAGUUUAAAAACCAUAACUAAAACCAAAACAAAAAAAAAGUAAAGGUGUGCUUUGAACCAUAAAUGCGUUAAACAGGAAAACCGCAGCUUCUUUUUCAGUCGUGGGAAAAGCAGUUUUGUUUUUUUUUUUUUUUAAAUUAAAAAAACAAAAAUACCACUGUUCCUUUGUAAGCUGUGCACAUCUGAUAGCGAAGAUGCUGGUACGACGCUAGGAGAGCUGGAAGGUCUACCACACCUACGGAGCAGCUGACCAGCGUGUGCACGGCCGGACUCCCGCGGGCCGGCUCCGGCAGUUGGUCACAGAGGCUACAACUGGCUUUUUUAUUAUUUUCUUCCAUUUUCAUAGAGAAACUGCCUUAGGCUGACUCCAUCACAAAAAUAAGUUUGUAUUUCUCUUUCUUAAUAGUUUAUACGUAGUUAAUGGAAUUGUAUUUACAGUAUUUUUUUUUUUUCUUCAGAAUUCACAAUUUCAAAAAACCUUAUAUCACCUCUUUCAACAAAAAAAAGCACUUAUAGAAAAAGGACGCACAAAAAGUUUGUAGUCCUUGCCUUAUUGCCGAAAAUAGAUAGAAUUAGGUUAACGAAGACGCCACAAAUGAAAAGAAGGGCUAGAGAACCUGCUGCUCACCUGCACCCCCGUGCCCUGCAAGGCCACCCCGAAACCGUGCCCGCCGCCGGCUCUGCUCCCCCCCCAACCCUUGGCGGUGGCAGAGCCGGAACCAGCGGCUGAGACUCCUGUCACCAUCUCAGCAUCCUUUAAGCAACAACGACUACGUAAAAGAGAACGGAGAAGGAGGGGGGAAAGAAAAAAAACCCAAAAUAAACCCCUUAAUAUAAACAGUUACGC